ensembl:lncRNA
UGUUUUUAUUUGGAAUGGUAUAGAGGAAAAAACCUGAUUUUUAUCUAUGUAAGUGCAAACAGUUACAGCUUGUCUGCAGUCUCUGGUUAUGGACAAAACUGAAGUAGAUGCUUGAAAAAAGGAUUAAGAGAGGACUAUCCAGGACCUGCUUUCAGCCCUUAUCUUCCAUACAUCAGGUGAGAAACACCCAAAGGUUAUAAUCACUAAAAUUACACGUGGUGACAGCCAGCACCCAGGUGUGGUGACCCCAGCACCGACCCAAGAAGCCCUCACAAGCACGAAACUGGAGGCCUUACCUGAGAGCUCCAGCGGCCUAAGCCAUGCGUGUUUUGUCUCUGAGCGUACCUGUUACGGAUGAUUUUCACUAUUUAAUAUGACACUUGGAGUGAGGGAGUGCAGGGAGCCUCUGAGGUGCUGCCACAAAAGCCAGUUUCAAAACCAGUUAUUUGGUGUAAAGACUCUGGGGUUUCUGAGCCCACAAGCCUGGGCCAGCUGAGCACCUCCUCAGCUGGAGUGGAGCACUGACCCCAGGGCUGGGUCGAUGAUGAGGACCUGGUAAGUGCUCCCCGCCCCUGUCCAUGAAACAAGGUGACUUCCACUGCUGGAGGACAUUGGGAAAGAUCAGAGCCAGACAGGCUCCUGUCUCACCGGUCUUAAAACUUGAAGACAACUGGCCCUGCCCUGGGUCUUCCACCUUACAGAGGUAACAUUCUGGUCUAAGUUUACUUACAAUAUCGUGCAAUUGUCACUACUCGAAGACUUCAGAGUUCAUCUAUGAACUUUAAAUACUGAUGUAUUUUAAUGGAUGCAGGUCUGCCUUAGAGGUGCACUGCUGCCUUAGAAUCCUAUAAAAGCAAUGGGAAAGAGGGGCCAGAGAAAAACUGCUUGUUGGAGUUGAGGUGGCCUCAGUUUGCUGAACAGCUGGCGAGGUUUAGGUUUCUGACUGAAGACUGCACAAGCCAGGAGCUACACAGAGCAGCUGGCUCUGCAGGCUGCGCAGCAGGGGAGGGAGAGGGGGCCUUGCCUCUAAGCAGCGCGGAUGUCUGAGGCACGGGCCUGGGCCAGGCUGUGUCUGCUACUUAGCAGGUGAGCCUAAGGUUGCAAGAGAGUGACGACCUUACCUUCAGCUCAUGCUCCUUGCCAUCUCCAAUGCCAGAGGAGCCCAGGGUGGGUGAACAUACUUAAGGCUUCAUCACCCAAAUUAAAACAGACUGAGUUAAUUAUGAAUGGCUCCUCUGCUGUACUUCGCCUGUGGGACAGCCAUCCCCUAGAGCUGGAGGUCUUUCAAGUCCCCCUUAGAUUGCUGGUACCUGCUGACACACACUACUGGGGCGGCUCCCAGUUUUGAAGUUCUGCCAGCCCUGGGGACCCGACCUGGGUGCCGUUUCUGUUCUUUCAUUUGACUUGAUGGACCAGCCAGCUGCUGCUUCAGACGUCUGUGCCCAACAUGUGUGUUCUCUGGGGUCCCCAAGGACCUGCCGUGCCUGCUGGCUCUUCUGCCGCUGCAGCUGGCCUUCGGGGCUGUGCCAUACUGUCCUGUCCUUGCACCUGUGUGGUGCUGGUGUUCCUGACGUUCAGUUGUUGGCUCUGCUUCCACACAUGCUUCCUUGGAGACUUGUAUAAAUCAAGGUACUUUAUUAACAACAGUUCCAUCCAUGUCUCCAGCUGUUCCCGAGCCAGCGUGCGAGGCCGCCUCACGUGCACACCCUGUGCAGCCCGAGGCAUCAGCCCAAGGGACUAGUUCUCAGGGCCUAGGACCCUGCUCACCCAGUCCUGUCAGCUGGAAGGAGGGCGGAGCCAGGAGGCCUGCAGCCCGGGCCUGUCGCCAGUCCUCUGCGCACCGGGUCUAAGGCGCGGGGAUGGCGCAGUUCCUUCCCAGUCAGCCUGCAGCAGUUGCGAACCUGAUGCCACUCUGCCUUCCUCGCCCCCACGUCCAGAUGAAGCAGCUGAGGCUCAGCGAGCUGAAGAGCCCUAUCCAAGGUCGCUCAGCUAACCUGCAGCAGAAUGCAGACUCAAACUCCAGUCUGGUGAUCCAAAAGCCAGGCAGUGAGGCGGCUGCUGUCACAGACAAGGCCAGAAGUGGUGGUGGCCUCAGUGGAUCCAGAGAGAAGCAGACGUGCAGGCCCAGCAGGGACCUGGAGGGGAAGUGACAGGACUCAGCGAGCACUGCUGAGGCAGAAGGGCAGGACGUGCUGCAGGCUCCGCCUUGACCCGCUGGAUCAUUUACUGCGGUGGAGGAUGAGGGGAAGGAUAGAGGUUUAGAGGGGAAAAAAACAUCAUCUAAAUUUGAUAUAAAAUAAAACCAGGCUAAUCCCAUGCCUAGAAACUCCCUCUCCACGCCGCAAUCCCAGUGUUCUCUCCACCCAUUCCCGCCGCUCCUCCCACUGUCCUAAGGCCCCCUGUUCUCUUCUGAGCCUCCAGCCUUCUACUACCUCACCUCGGGCAGGUCAGAGCUGGGAGGCCCACCAAGAGGAUGCUGGCCCUGGGCCCCCGGGCUUUGCUCAGGCCUCUCCUGAAGCUCCCUCCGCUACAGAGGCUCUGCCUGGGGAGGAGCUGCUUGUGUGCUGAACUCCUCAGGGUGGAGUCUUCCCCCAACCCCUUCCCUCUCCCCCCACUAGGACCCAGAACAUUCUGUGUGCACAGCCUCCACAGUCACACAGGGCUCAGAAGGGCCUUGUCUUGGUCUAAUGCGCUUCUACUGCAGUUCCAAAUAUAUUCCUACUGUCUAUAAUAAGGGGCCCAUGUUUUCAUUUUGGAUUAGGUCCUGACACUAGCUGUCCUGUCCCUGGAUUGUAAUGAUGUAGACUCUGAGUGGCAGACAGCCUUUCCCAGCUGUGGGAGUGAACCUCAUUUCUAGCUAGGAAGGCCCACUGUUUUAAAGCAG